GGUGGAGAGAGAUUGGCAAUACAAUUUCACAAAGUGGGUACAAAGUAACAGAAGAAGAAGAAACUAAGUUAGCAUCCAACAUCUUGCUUAGUGGUAGUAGAAUUGAAAACCUGGGAUUGAAUUGGAUGUGAAGGUUCAACAUGUUUAGUUCCCUUGGCAGCGACUGGAAUAAAUAAGUGGGGUGGCUUGUUAAUUUAGUGAAUGAUAGGAGUGUGUUUGUGUUCAUUUUAAUUUCUAUAUUUAUAUUUGCGAGUGUUGCGUAAUUAUGUUUUAAGUAUUGCAUAAACUUAAAUUGUUAAACAAAUAUUAUUGUAAUUGUCAAAUUCUUGUUAUAUGAAUUUCAUGUUAUGAAAGAGUUUAAAUAUGAAA